GGACAGGUGGCCUUGGACGGAGGACCGCUUCAGCGGAAAAUGGGCCUCGCGGCGCCUCCAGCCAGCCCCAUCCGUCCUCCAACAAGGCGGCUUCAGCGCAUCCUCCCGGCCCCUCGGAACCCAGGGGAAUUCGACUCCAGCCCCAGCUGCACAGACCGCGCCAGGCGCCCAGACCCAGACCCCGUCUCCUCCCUGGGCUCCGCAUCUGCCCCCCAGCUGCCACCCCAUCCCCUUGCGCCCAGCGCACAGCUCAGCCCUCCUGAUUUGCGCCCCAUCAGCAAGCUUCCUGCCAAACCGCGGGCCCUUUAUGUCGAUUGUCUUGGAGUUGGAGAGGAGGAGGAAGCAGUUGUGCCAAGAAGGACAGGAAUUCCUGAGCGGCCCGUGCACCCCCCAAGGCAGUGCCUUCUCUCUUGCUUCUCUCAGGACUCUGCACAGCACAGAGCCUGCCAGGGCCACACUCUCCCUGAAGCCCCACGCAGAGUGGGGAUCCCACCGCCGUCUGCGGAAACCUGAAGGUCCCCCUCGGUGUCCUUGCAGCCCGAGAAGCCCCCACUCAUGCAAAUGUCCUUCCCCAGUUCGUGCUUAGGAGCCUGGAGACCGGGCCGCCACCUUCUCAUAACCCAGCCAACACCUGUUGGAAGAGAGAGAAAUCGCAGCAAACGGAAGGGGGGCGGGGGGGCUGGAGCCUGACGUGGGGGAGGAGGGGCGAGAAGGAAGAGAAAAUUUCAAGGCCCCAGAAGCUGGUGAAGGGCCGGCUCGGCCGUCAGGCUCUUCCCAAGCAUUCCUGGCAGACUGCGUGUUUCUUCGUCCAAUCAAAUCAUAUUUGCUUUAACCACAAAUAUUUUCCAGUUCAACCUACAUUCCAUCGACGACCAAAAGCCAAAUUGAUGUGGCUGAAUGAAGAUGAGCAAGUCUGGGGAAAAAUAAAAUAAAAAUUUGAAUUCAUGUUUCUGUUUUGACACCAGAAACUGAUAUGCGUGGAGCCUCUGUAGAUGCACGAGGGCCUCAAAAUAGGUGGGAGAGUCUGCAUUUGACAAGUGACAAAGACCGAAGGCCAGGCUCAGUGGUCCCAGAGCGGCCUUCAGAGUGGGCAGGCUCCCGAGGCUCCCGCGGCCUCAGACUCCCGAGCCUGCCGGGCACGUUCCUAGCUGGGCAGCGUUCGCUGCUAACAGGAUUGCAACCAGCAUUCGCAGACUCUGCUCUGAAGUUAAAAUACACCUGCACAAACACUUCUAACAUGUGCUUUCACUUUAGGGUCCCUGAAUUUUCUCAGUGCCUUUGUCAGUUUUUCGAUUGACUUGAAGAGGGGCAGCGCUGCCCAGGCACAGGUGACACGGAGCCUGUGGAUCCGGGGUGGGCCGGGCUCACAGCUCAGCCCGCGGGCCUGGCCAGCAGGUUCCGCUGCUGCCGCUGACACUGGAAAACGGGCUUUGUGCCUGCGAAGAAGGACUGAAGAGGUUUCAUCCUUCAACGAAACAGAGGGAACCAUCAGGAUGAUACAUCCAAUGACUUGCUGAUUCAAGCACUUGUCCAAAUCGCCUUUCAGAAGUGGAUGUAGGGCAUGAUAACGAGUGUUUUAAUGGAGCAGUAACCCAGUCAGAACUGGGUGAACGGAUGUAGGCUUUUGGUCUUCCGAUUAGGAGUUCCCGUGGUUACAUGGCGUUGUUGUAAGUGAGAAGAUGUUUCUCCCCAGAGGGUGGUGAUUGUCUUCGGGAGAGACCUAACAGUGGUUUUUUCUAGAGAGUGUGAUCAAGAUGGCAAAAGCCUGUGUGGUGGAACUGAACCCCUCCUCUCGAGAAUCUGAAGAUCAUUCCAGGAGGGCCGUCACGAGCUCGCAUCCCCAGGGAUCUGAUUCAGACACUAAAAUCCUGCACGCAGAGCAGUUUCACUCACCGAAUGCGGUGGAAAUAGCAGAACAUUUGCAGGUCGAUGAUUCAAAAGACAUGUUGUCCAUUGAGACAGAUCUUCGUCUGAAACAGGUUCUAUCCUUAGAGAUGAUAAACAACCAUGCUUCCUCACGGCUGAGAUUUCACAGACUCAGAAUUUGCUAAUAAACUCGAAGACCAACACAUGGUCGCCAAAGUCAUGUUUUUUACUUUUGCCAAGUAAACUUUAUAAAGAAAUGUACUUCAUCCUCCUUCUCCUCCUCAUUUCUCUCUUUCCCUCCCUUCUAGCCUAACUGAAUUCACAAUCAACACGAAGCUACUGUACGAGAGGCUUGUAAUGUGAGACAUUUUUACCUCUGGUGUUAGCCAGGGAGUAAGCAUCCUGCAGCCCACCUCUCCUCUUCAUUACCAUAAAAACGCUGAUUAAAGCUGGAAAGCAACUAAUUACUAAAGAGCUGUGAGUCAGCCAUAGCUGCUUCAUUAGGGAGAAAAGUCCCAAAUUAAGAAGGCCUGCUGGAUAAGUUUCCUCCGUUAGCUCCUGGCUUUGAGCUGAAGGCUGCGUAGCUCAGGAACUGCACAGCAGACAUGGUGGUACAUUUUUGAGACAAACACCUUCUAUCUAUCUGAGGACCAGAAAGAGGUUUGCCUGCAAGGUGAAGAAUAAGGGAGGGAAUCCCUUUACUUUUCUUUCUUUUUUUAUUAUCUCUUUUGGCUCCUGACCCUGUUCUUUUGGUAGGUCAGGUCCCUGGGCUCUGUGUAGUAAUGACAAUGUGAGAACCCCAAAAAUUAAGAGAAAACAUUUUUCUUCUGGCCAAAGGAAUUAAAUUUGAUAAAAAAGACCCAGGAGUUUAGGAGAAUGAAAAAUCACCUUUAUUUAAUUUUCCUUCUCUUGUCAUUGCUUCACCAAGGAGCCCUUCACAGGAACCUCCAACCCCAAGGGAAGUCAGCAGGAUGCUGGGAGCUGAGAGGGGUCUCAGAGAUGGGAGCCCCCCAAUUCUGUGUAUGAACUGACACACAUCCUAGGCUCCCCUCUAAACUGUACAUGUGAAGAAAAGACCCAAGAUAUCUUAACAAACCACUGCCCUCUGGGCAUUGAAAUAUGACAUACCAACAGCCCGUGUUCUGAGUGAACCCUGAGGCCAAUGUCUGGGACGGUUCCUAGAUGCAGAGUAAAGUGACAUGAUGGUGAAGUUGGAAUCCUGCUCACAAAAGGAAGUCUGUCUCAGCAUGACUAGGUUGACUACCCAUUGAAAGGAAAACAGCAAAUUUUAAUAUUUUCAAGGGGCUUGUAAUGGGAGCCAGAAUUUCAUAAUGUAAUAUUUUUAAAAUGUCCAAGGUACAAUCCAAAAUUAUUUGACAUACAAUGAGCAAGAAAAUUAUGACCAGUACUCAAAGGAGAAGACAAUCAACAGCUGCUGAUCUCACUAUGACCCGACCUUGGAGUUGCCAGAAAAAGACCUAUGGGAAACCACUGUAACUAUGCUUCACUAUAUCAAGGCAAAUACUCUUGACAUGAAUAAGUGAGGUUCUCCACAGAGAAUGGGAUACUAUGGGACAAAAACACCAAGUGAAAAUUUUACAAUGAAGAAAUAUGAUAGAUAAAAUUGAAAAAUACCUGGAUGGGCUUGUUCAUAGAAUGUAGUAGAGGGAAGAGUCAAUGAACUUAAAUGUCAAUCAAUAGGAAUUCUUCGUUCUGAAGCACAGAAAGAAGAAAACAAUUGAAAACAUGAACACAGUGUUAGGAAGCCAUGGAACAAUAUAAAAGGUCUCACAGUCAUGGCCUUGGACUGCCAGAGUGGGGGCAGAAAGCAUGAUGUUUGGAAGCAGAUUCUUUGAAGGGAUAGUGAAUAAUACCUUCCCAAAUAUGGUUCAAGGCAAAAUUUAUAGAUUCACAAAUUCAAUGAACCCUAAACAGAGUAAACUCAGAGAAAACCAGGCCCAGAUGCAUCCUACUUGGAAUGUUGAAAACAAAACAUACAGAAAAAUAUUUGAGAAAGUGAGAAAAAUAAAGUUUUUCACUGGACACAUAUGAACAAAAGUGUUGUCAUUUAAAAAAAUCUUAACUAUUUGCUUUUGCGUAAGACAUUUAAAUCAACAAAGUGGAAAAAAAAAAAGCAUUUUGGCUCUGGAAAAGGAUAUGCAAAACAUGAAGUAAAAUAAAAAUUAGUGGGUAAAUUACCUAAAUAUUUGGAACCUCAAACAAAUAUUUGGUUUGAUUCUGAGGCAAAUAAAUGACUCGUUUGCUUCUUUUUUUUAUCCCCUCUGGCUCAUCAUCUGUGGUGAUGACCAACAAGUAAAAACACUGUAAGGUGAAUGAUUCAGUACAACUGAGGCGGCUGGAGAAAUUGCCUGUUAUAACUUCUGAGAGCCAGAGGAGCUUGGACACUUAUUUAAAUGUCGUAACACCAACUAUUUCAUUCUCUAACUUAUCUGAGAGUAAUGUCAUUUCUCAAUUGAAAUUUGUUGACAUCUUGGGUUGAAAUUAAGGCUUACUGCUUAACUAGCCUGGAAAAGAUGUAUGUAAGAUUUAGGGUUUGCGUGGUCCCACAUACGAUCUCCUGCUGUUCUAGGAGUUUUUAGAUGUCCUAGAAACCUUUAUGGGUCAUACAUAGUGAUGGUGAAAGUCCAGGAAGUUUGGAAGCACAGUCCAUUGUACAUGUGAAAUCAGAACAGAACUGCUGGAUGUGCCGAACAGAGCUGGUAAUCAUAUGGCAUGAGAGUCCCCGCUUGACCAAAGGCAUCUUAUUAGCACAUGUUCUUUACGUCUUUUUGUAAUGCCAGUCUCCAAAUUCCUAAAACUUUGACAGAAGAGGAAAGCCUUAUAAAGAUGAAACAUGUGUAGACACUGAUAGACAACGUGGCCGUGGAGAGCCGUCGGUGGGGACGCGGACGCGCUGGAGUCAGUCUCAGUCGGGUCUUCGUUCACAGCGGAGUCUGUGUGACACCUUGACUUCUAGGACCCACCUGCUCCUUCGGUCGUGAUGUGGAAGAGCACUGUUGACCUCUAACGCAUGGAAAUCCAACAGAAAUGAAGCAAGUUAAAGCAAUGGUUUAAUCUCAUCGAAGAAGAAAGAGCAGGUGAUUUAUGAUGCACUAAAUACAGGCCGAGCAGAGAAAGAAAACUACUUGUUACCAAAAUGCAGUUGGUAUAUGUCUUAAUGACAUCAGCCUGAAAAAUAAUUCUUCAUAGCCAUAGGGAUGCCCAGAACUAAUAUGUGGGCAAUAACUCACUUCCCUGUGCCACUCCUGAGAAGCGGCAGCUAUGAAUCAAGGAAUAAGUGAGACUCUUCACUCAGAAGUCUACGUCGGAGACGGGCCCGGAGAAGCAGAGCAGAUCCCCCAGCUGUGGGAGGACUUCCAGGCCAGGACCCAGGGCCGUCAGAGACGCCCGUAUUCUGGGAGAGUUACAGAGGUUAUUUUGCAUAGGUCACCAGGCAAAGCAUUAUGUCACAAAUUUGCUUCCUAGGAGAUUAAUAAUACAAGCGGCAUCUGCAGCUGCUGAGAGGGUGCAGCUGAAGCCCGAUGAAGCUCGCGUUCCAACUGCAGCUCACCCCCCAGGGUUCUCCGCUCCCUCCACGCCGGCUCCCUCGCUGAGUCGGUGCCUGCACCGUGGGUCUCAGAAAAGCAUCACCAGAGGCACGGAACAGUGUGACUCAGCUCUAAACCUGAGUCAGAGUCCUGCUUUCCAACAGAGGCUUCUGAAAACCGUGCGAGGGCAAUGACCUUGAAAUCCCAAGAUGUGCAUUUGGAGACUCCAGCAGAGUCCGGGGUUGAAGCUCCCCAUAGGGUGUAGGUUAUGCCUUUAAGCAAAGCCGGGCUGUCCUGCUCUCCCACCCCUGACGAGUCUUCCCAGACGGAGGAGGACGGGUCUGGGGCAGGGAAAGGGCUCAGACCAGCACGAGUCCCUGAGCAGUGGCCCUGUCUGCUCUGUCCUGGUUCCCACCCCCACAUCCUCUAAAUAGUCGAGCCCCAAUAUUGAGCGUGGUUGGCAGACUGUCUAAGAGAUUGACAGUGGGUGAGCAUGAGUGACAGAAACCAUCUAUGCUAUUGCGGGCAGGCGACAGAACCUCCAAGGACAGGACAGGGACCCAAAGGCCAAGCCGUGGAAGAGACCUGUCCCCUUGGUGCCUUGGCCCCAGCACAGACUUGGCAGCAGGAGGUCUAGGCGGGUGAGCUGAGAUGAUCCCACUGCAGGGAGUCUGGGUCCCAAGCUUCCUCGGGCCUCAGAGAGAGGUGCCGGGCAGGCAGCCGCCCAUGACGCCCUGUGACAGGCGGGUGGGCCUGGUCACAGUGGCCCCAGGACAUUCUUGCAGCUUUGGCAGACGUGGAGGUGAUUAACAAGGACCAGACUGCACCCUCCGCUCAGUGCCCACCCCCGACCCAGGACAGUAGCAAAGCAGCCACCUCUUCCCCUGCAGACACACGGGAGCUCAUGCAAGUCCCCUUGGGACCUACAGACCACGCCCUGGGGGCGGCUGGAACCAGUCUCUGCAUCAGCCAAGUGCAAAACGGGAAUGGCUCGGGGCUCAGUGACGCGGUGGUUUUCACUUGGAAGGGGGUAGGUUGGAUUUUCCACCACAGGAGAUACUGUGACUCAAUUGAAAAUCAAACCCAGAUUUAAGAGAAAAUAAAGUUCCCCUUUCCAAACCAACCGGACUCCGCUUCAGCUACAUCUGAUGCCUGUGGCUGUCCCCACGUGGCCCACUCCAGGGGGGCUUCUUUAGUGUACGUGGGGCCACCAGGAAAAGCAUGAGGCGGUCUCAGCAUGGCUCCCAUUGGAGGAACUAGGAAACCCCUAGAAUCCCAGCGUCUGUUCCUGAGUUUGCCCUUCUUGACUAAGGGCGUCAGCCACACGUGGGCCGGGAGGGCCGCUGGCUUCCACGAAGUCUGUGUAUGUGAGCAACGAACAGGUGAGAAGAGGCUGGGGAAGACUCACCCGCUUCUUAAGAUGGUUAUCUACUAAAUAAAGUUUAAACUCCUAAACAGAGAAUUCAAGGUUUUCUAAGAGAAAGAUACUUCCUGCAGGCUCUGGCCAGACUACCCUUGCUCAUCCAGUCUAAAUAGGACACCUGUCCUCCCGGAAUAUGCCAGUUUACUGCUGUGCUAUUUCAUCUUUCCCCAAAUUGCCUUGCUCUGUAACUAUUGCCUCACUCACUUAUUUUAAAGAAUCAGCUUAAACAUCUGUUGAAUCUUUACUCUUGGCUGAAAGUCAUUCUUUAAUCUCUUAGAGGUCAAAGUAUGUAUUCCUUUUGACAAUUCAUUACAGUUACUAAAGCUAAAUUCAAAAUUUAACUAUCUUGGGGAGCUCUCAUUGUGGCUCAGCGGAUAACGAAUCUGACUAGCACCUGUGAGGAUGCAGGUUCGAUCCCUGGCCU
rnacentral:lncRNA from 1 species